CCUACGGGGGGCAGCAGUGAGGAAUAUUGGGCAAUGGGCGCAAGCCUGACCCAGCAAUGCCGCGUGCAGGAGGAAGUCCUUCGGGAUGUAAACUGCUGUCAGGGGUCAACAAGCAAAGGGACCUAAUACGUCCUGGCGUUGAGUCGCCCCAGAGGAAGCCUCGACUAACUCUGUGCCAGCAGUCGCGGUAAGACAGAGGAGGCAAGCGUUGUUCGGAAUCACUGGGCUUAAAGCGCGUGUAGGCGGCUUGGUAAGUGUCGUGUGAAAUCCCAUGGCUCAACCAUGGAACUGCACGGCAAACUACCUAGCUUGAGGUCGGUAGAGGUGCCUGGAACUCUAGGUGGAGCGGUGAAAUGCGUAGAUAUCUAGAGGAACGCCAGAAGCGAAAGCGGGGCACUGGGCCGAUUCUGACGCUGAGACGCGAAAGCGUGGGGAGCAAACAGGAUUAGAUACCCGAGUAGUC
rnacentral:rRNA from 1 species